CAUUAAUAGAAAUGUGUAAAAGAUGCACUUCUUAAGUAGUUGAGGAAUUUAGGGGGUUAAAAUAGUUGUUGCUGGCCUUGUCAUGAGGCAUUGUGCACGCUACCUCUGAGGACCUCUUCAAACUGGGGUGUGUGUCUAUCAUCUCAUCUCUCACCUGUGCACUUAAUGUAGGUCUGCAUGGUUUUGGUAAAACGAAACUGUGCUAGAGCCUCUCUCUCUGCGGGGGGAAAGGACGAAAGUACCUAUGUCUUCAAAUACAUCUUUGUGUAGAAAGUCUUAGAAUGUUUACUAUCAUUGAGUCACGACUCUUAGGAGACGUGGGUCUUUGAGAUAAAAGUUUAUUACAACUUUCAGCAAUGGAUCUCUUGGCUCUCGCAUCGAUGAAAAACGCAGCGAAUCCCGAUAUGUAAUGUGAAUUGCAGAUCUACAGUGAAUCAUCGAAUCUUUGAACGCACCUUGCGCUCC
rnacentral:misc_RNA from 1 species